UGACGUACAGACGCAGCCCGACCUGUUAGGUUCUGAAAUUCGGGGUUACCGUCUUGGGAUCUGCAGGCGCUCUGAUGCCCUUGGCUCAGGCACCCGGCUUAUGCCCACACCGGCCGGCUGGAACCUUUCGAGGAACAGAAGAAUUCCUGGGCUCCAGCCCUACCUAGGUCUGGAGGCAGCGAUGACUCCGCCAAACUGCCGUCUCCGCCCACCCCAGUCUCCACGUCUCGCCGCGGCUCUCUGCUGGGGGCUCCAGGGGCUCAUCCUGAUCCCGCAUCCCAGAGGCUUAACCUGCCCGCUCCCAGUCUUCAGCUUUGCCUGGCUCCCCUCCCGACCCCUCCCUCCGCUGAGCGGCGGAGAUGGAUGCGACAUCCCCACGGGGGGAUCUCUCGACUCCCCGAACAGCAGCAGCAGCGCGUGGAGGGGCAGCCGAGCACCCCGGUGUGACAGUUUCUCUGGAGAGCUGGGAAAAGAAAUCCAACAACAGUGAGUUAGUGAUGUCAGAGGUUACUCUUUCCAAUAUCACAAGAGCCUGGAGGGAGGCAUUCCCAGACUGCACAGCAGUAGUUCAUGUCAGACAUCCACUGGGUUUGUGGCCAUGAACUAUGUCCCACAUAGCAUUUGGUCAAGAGACAUGUGCUCUGGAGUUCAGGUGCCUGCUUUCAGUGGAGAAUGACUGGCAGUGUGACCCUGAGCAAGGAUGUCUACAUCCAGCAUUCUUCUCAAACAAGCCGCAGAUCUGCUUCUUGCCCUUUGAAAGCUGAUGGCUCCGCUUCCAAGUCCCGUGGCUGGCGGGCAGAUUAUGAAACGGGAUGCACUGUCAGAAACGCAGGUUUUCAUGGACUACAUGUCCUCAUUGGCUCUACUCUCUGUAGUCAACUAAGAUUCCACUUCACAGGCAAGGUCCCUCCAUGCUGUCUCAAAGGGAACGCUGCGUUUUGAAAGAAGAUUCUAAUCAAAGAAGAUUCUUACCUCAUUAGAAUUCACAUGGAAGGAGUUCCACAUGGAAGGCCCGGUCUGGAGUAAUUGUGAAAAGUGCAUCUUUCCAGCGUUUCUCGAAUGGUACUCCAUCAUAUGCCUUGACAUUCAAUCAGUCUCAUUACCAAAACCAAGGGUGGCUGGACCUCAAAGAAUGGGAACUCUGAGGAAGCUGAGAAAAAAAGCGUCUGGGAUGUGAUUUCACUUCACCCAAAUCUGUGAAUCUCUGGUUAGUCUCUCCUGAAUGCAAGGCCUACGAAAAGCGGUCUUGAGUCACAGCCUGGAAGGCCGAGUUCUUGUAGGACAAAAAUAAUCCCAAUCAACUGCUGGCCCUGCUGGGUCCAUCUGUUAUUGGAAUUAGGUCCUUCUUUUCAUUUUAUUCAAACUGAAGAAACUUUCUGGCAAGGUGUCAGGUUUCAAACAGAAAUGUCAGCCAAGGGCUCGUGAGGCCAAGGUCUGAGCAAACUUGAAUCAAUUUAUGCUUUGGGUAAGAAUUCACUUGGAAUUUCGUGGUCUGGUGGGUCCAUUUGUGAAAUGCUCCUCAUUUGCAACUGCUGGGCUAAAUCUUGCAAGGAGCUGGGUAUAAAGUCAACAUCAGAGGUCCAUGUGACUUCUACCCAAUGUGAGGGUUAGCAGUAAAUGAGUUGCGGGGCACACUAGAGUGAUCUUCCCCAGCAUAAGAGCAGAAAAGAACUGGGACAUGUUCUAAACUCUAAUUUAAACCUUGCUCUAUGUAUGAACCAGUCAAAACUAACCCUAUUGAUGAUAAUAACAGCAAGAACCUUUAAUGAAUACGUACUAUAUGCCAGGCUCUGUGCUAGGUACCUUACAUUUACUGAUUAAUGAAUCCUCUUGAUAAUUACACAAAAUGGAUUUUAUUAUUUUCUCUAUUUCAUAGUUGAAAAUAAAACAGAGAAACAGAGCUUCAGAAACAUGCACCAGCUUAAAAAAUAAUUAUCCUCACCUGAGGAUAUGUUUUAUUGAUUUUAGAGAGAG